rnacentral:rRNA from 1 species
UACGUAGGGUGCGAGCGUUGUCCGGAAUUAUUGGGCGUAAAGGGCUCGUAGGCGGUUUGUCGCGUCGGGAGUGAAAUCCACUGGCUUAACUGGUGGCUUGCUUUCGAUACGGGCAGACUGGAGGUAUGCAGGGGAGAACGGAAUUCCUGGUGUAGCGGUGAAAUGCGCAGAUAUCAGGAGGAACACCGGUGCGAAGGCGGGUCUCUGGACAGUUCCUGACGCUGAGACACGAAGGCCAGGGGAGCAAACGGGG